UCCGUUGUAGUCUAAUUGGUUAGGAUACUCGGCUCUCACCCGAGCGGGUUCAAGUCCCGGCAACGGAA
rnacentral:tRNA from 1 species